UACGGAGGAUCCAAGCGUUAUCCGGAUUUAUUGGGUUUAAAGGGUGCGUAGGCGGCGUUGUAAGUCAGUGGUGAAAGUUUGCAGCUUAACUGUAAAAUUGCCAUUGAUACUGCAGUGCUUGAGUACAGAUGAGGUGGGCGGAAUGUGUCAUGUAGCGGUGAAAUGCAUAGAUAUGACACAGAACACCGAUUGCGAAGGCAGCUCACUAAACUGUAACUGACGCUGAGGCACGAAAGCGUGGGGAUCAAACAGG
rnacentral:ncRNA from 3 species